rnacentral:rRNA from 1 species
ACACAUGCAAGUCGAACGGUAACGCGGGGGCAACCCUGGCGACGAGUGGCGAACGGGUGAGUAAUACAUCGGAACGUACCCAGUAGUGGGGGAUAGCUCGGCGAAAGCCGGAUUAAUACCGCAUACGCACUGAGGUGGAAAGCGGGGGACCGAAAGGCCUCGCGCUAUUGGAGCGGCCGAUGUCGGAUUAGCUUGUUGGCGGGGUAAAGGCCCACCAAGGCGACGAUCCGUAGCUGGUCUGAGAGGACGACCAGCCACACUGGGACUGAGACACGGCCCAGACUCCUACGGGAGGCAGCAGUGGGGAAUUUUGGACAAUGGGCGAAAGCCUGAUCCAGCAAUGCCGCGUGUGUGAAGAAGGCCUUCGGGUUGUAAAGCACUUUUGUCCGGAAAGAAAUCCGUCUGGCUAAUACCCGGAUGGGAUGACGGUACCCGGAAGAAUAAGCACCGGCUAACUACGUGCCAGCAGCCGCGGUAAUACGUAGGGUGCGAGCGUUAAUCGGAAUUACUGGGCGUAAAGCGUGCGCAGGCGGCUAUGCAAGACAGGUGUGAAAUCCCCGGGCUUAACCUGGGAACUGCACUUGUGACUGCAUGGCUCGAGUGUGUCAGAGGGAGGUGGAAUUCCGCGUGUAGCAGUGAAAUGCGUAGAGAUGCGGAGGAACACCGAUGGCGAAGGCAGCCUCCUGGGAUAACACUGACGCUCAUGCACGAAAGCGUGGGGAGCA